UAGGGAAUAUUGCACAAUGGGGGAAACCCUGAUGCAGCGACGCCGCGUGAAGGAAGAAGUAUCUCGGUAUGUAAACUUCUAUCAGCAGGGAAGACAAUGACGGUACCUGACUAAGAAGCCCCGGCUAACUACGUGCCAGCAGCCGCGGUAAUACGUAGGGGGCCAGCGUUAUCCGGAUUUACUGGGUGUAAAGGGCGUGUAGGCGGGAUUGCAAGUCAGAUGUGAAAGGCUGGGGCUUAACCCCAGGACUGCAUUGGAAACUGUUUUUCUAGAGUGCCGGAGAGGUAAGCGGAAUUCCUAGUGUAGCGGUGAAAUGCGUAGAUAUUAGGAGGAACACCAGUGGCGAAGGCGGCUUGCUGGGCUUUAACUGACGCUGAGGCUCGAAAGCGUGGGUAGCAAACAGGAUUAGAUACCC
rnacentral:rRNA from 1 species